rnacentral:rRNA from 1 species
UAGGGAAUCUUCCGCAAUGGGCGAAGGCCUGACGGAGCAACGCCGCGUGAGUGAAGAAGGAUUUCGGUUCGUAAAGCUCUGUUGUUAGGGAAGAAUGAUUAUGUAGUAACUAUACAUAGUAGAGACGGUACCUAACCAGAAAGCCACGGCUAACUACGUGCCAGCAGCCGCGGUAAUACGUAGGUGGCAAGCGUUGUCCGGAAUUAUUGGGCGUAAAGCGCGCGCAGGUGGUUUAAUAAGUCUGAUGUGAAAGCCCACGGCUCAACCGUGGAGGGUCAUUGGAAACUGUUAAACUUGAGUGCAGGAGAGAAAAGUGGAAUUCCUAGUGUAGCGGUGAAAUGCGUAGAGAUUAGGAGGAACACCAGUGGCGAAGGCGGCUUUUUGGCCUGUAACUGACACUGAGGCGCGAAAGCGUGGGGAGCAAACAGGAUUAGAUACCCUGGUAGUCCACGCCGUAAACGAUGAGUGCUAAGUGUUGGUCUCAUAAGAGAUCAGUGCUGCAGCUAACGCAUUAAGCACUCCGCCUGGGGAGUACGACCGCAAGGUUG